CUCUUGUUUCUAUAUUUCAAAACACUUCUUAACAGCUUAUAAAUAAUACUAAAUAUGCGAAGGUAUGUUACAUAGGAUAUGACGAUGAUGAUGAUGAGGGAGAGGAAGAGGAAGAGAGAGAGGGAGAGGAAGGGGAGGCAUGAGU
rnacentral:ribozyme from 1 species